CAGUAGCCGCGGUAAUACCAGCACCUCGAGUGGUCAGGAGGUUUAUUGGGCCUAAAGCAUCCGUAGCCGGUUGCAUAAGUUUUCGGUUAAAUCUAUGCGCUUAACGUAUAGGCCGCCGAAAAUACUGUGCAGCUAGGGAGUGGGAGAGGUACACGGUACUCGAUAGGAAGGGGUAAAAUCCUUUGAUCUAUUGAUGACCACCUGUGGCGAAGGCGGUGUACCAGAACACGUUCGACGGUGAGGGAUGAAAGCUGGGGGAGCAAACCGGAUUAGAUACCCCCGUAGUCCCUGUCUCUUAUAC
rnacentral:rRNA from 1 species